rnacentral:rRNA from 1 species
GGAUCAGCAUGCCGCGGUGAAUACGUUCCCGGGCCUUGUACACACCGCCCGUCACACCAUGAGAGUCGGGAACACCCGAAGUCCGUAGCCUAACCGCAAGGGGGCGCGGCCGAAGGUGGGUUCGAUAAUUGGGUGAAGUCGUAACAAGGUAGC